UAAGAAAAUUUCAUAUCCAGGCUGUGUCGACUGAGGAAAGUCUUGCUAUCUAAAGGAAUUUCAAUAUUUGAUGGGUGAGGAAUGGGUUCACAAAUCAGCACCAAGCAGGUCAUAGGUGGUUUCUUAUACCCACACUGAAACUCACCAGCAUCCAGAAGUUUCCUCACACGCAAAUAGCUGAUGGUAAGCCUCAUCACAGAGGCCUUAUCAAGAUGAGAACUCACAUUAUGUGGAAGUGGCAACUGAUGAGCAAGCUCAUAAAAAACUUCAGAUUCUUUACUUCGCCGAGAUCUGGCUGCAUCUCGAGACUUUUCUUUUCGACGUUCAGAACUUAUCCUACUUAA
rnacentral:lncRNA from 1 species